rnacentral:rRNA from 1 species
CCCUUAGAUGUUCUGGGCUGCACGCGCGCUACACUGACACUAUCAACGAGUGCUCCUGGUUUGAAAGGAUCGGGUAAUCUUUUGAAAUGGUGUCGUGAUGGGGAUAGAUCAUUGCAAUUAUUGAUCUUGAACGAGGAAUUCCUAGUAAAUGUGAGUCAUCAGCUCACGUUGAUUACGUCCCUGCCCUUUGUACACACCGCCCGUCGCUCCUACCGAUUGAGUGAACCGAUGAGUAGUCCGGAUUGCGAUCGACCUCGGUUAAUCGCGAGAAGUUCCGCAAAGCACUUCACUUAGAGGAAGGAGAAGUCGUAACA